rnacentral:rRNA from 1 species
GACGCGGGAUGCAAGCGUUAUCCGGUAUCACUGGGCCUAAAGCGUCUGUAGGCGGCGAUGCAAGUCACUGGUGAAAAACUCCGGCUCAACCGGAGGAAAGCCAGUGAAACUGCAUGGCUAGAGAGUGGGAGAGGUAGGAGGAAUUCCCUGAGUAGCGGUGAAAUGCGUAGAUACAGGGAAGAACACCGGAGGCGAAAGCGUUCUACUGGAACACAACUGACACUGAGAGACGAAAGCUAGGGGAGCAAAUGGG